rnacentral:tRNA from 1 species
GCUGAGGUCGCAUAAUCUGGUAGUGCGCCAGGUUGCUAACCUGGUGCUCGCAAGGGCUUGGGAGUUCAAAUCACCCCCUCAGCG